UUAACUCAAGUUUGUAUGAAGUUGGAACGUUUGCCUACGUUUACCGCUAGGGGCGCUGUUCCAAAUGCAUUAAAAUUUUAGUUU
rnacentral:pre_miRNA from 1 species